rnacentral:rRNA from 1 species
UACAGAGGUCUCAAGCGUUGUUCGGAUUCAUUGGGCGUAAAGGGUGCGUAGGUGGCGCUGUAAGUCGGGUGUGAAAUUUCGGAGCUUAACUCCGAAACUGCAUUCGAUACUGCGGUGCUUGAGGACUGGAGAGGAGACUGGAAUUCAUGGUGUAGCAGUGAAAUGCGUAGAGAUCAUGAGGAAGACCAGUGGCGAAGGCGGCUUGCUGGACCUGGUCUGACGCUGAGGCGCGAAAGCGUGGGGAGCGAACAGG